UUUCCGUAGGUGAACCUGCGGAAGGAUCAUUACAGAGUUCAUGCCCUCACGGGUAGAUCUCCCACCCUUGAAUAUUUAUACCUUAGUUGCUUUGGCAGGCCGUGGAAACACCAUGGGCUCCGGCUUAUGCGUGCCUGCCAGUGGAAACAAACUCUGUUUUUAGUGAUGUCUGAGUACUAUAUAAUAGUUAAAACUUUCAACAACGGAUCUCUUGGUUCUG
rnacentral:misc_RNA from 1 species